rnacentral:rRNA from 1 species
UACGAAGGGUGCAAGCGUUACUCGGAAUUACUGGGCGUAAAGCGUGCGUAGGUGGUGAGUUAAGUCUGUCGUGAAAGCCCCGGGCUCAACCUGGGAAUGGCGAUGGAUACUGGCUCGCUAGAGUGCGGUAGAGGAGAGUGGAAUUCCCGGUGUAGCAGUGAAAUGCGUAGAGAUGUGGAGGAACACCAAUGGCGAAGGCAGCCUUCUGGGCCAACACUGACGCUCAUGCACGAAAGCGUGGGGAGCAA